CCAUCUUCCACUUUUAUCACCCAAAAGAAUUUGAGGAAUUGGAUCUCAAAGCAUAACUAAAAGAAACUAUCAAUACAAUCGUUAUAACACGACGAGAGGUUUGCCUUAUUGGCUUCAUAAGUAUCAAGUGCAAGGAGAAUUAAGGGCAACAAGCCAUCGCUACAAGCAAGCAAGUGUUGAAGAAUCUAGUGGAAGUGGGGGAGAUGGAGGCCGAUGCCGGCCGUAGUACUAAUUCAAACAACAAAGUUAGGUCUGGAUGAUUAUUUAUUUUGUUCGAAAAAAAUAUGAAUUUUCAUCAAGUGCAUUUGAAUUAUCAAUUUGAUUUCUUCGUGCUAAUUUUUCCUUUUGCGGAAAAUAUACAUUACUUAAAUAAGUAAGAGGCGGUCAGAUUUUGAUAUUGGAUUUGACUGGAAAUAAUGGCGACAAUGACUCCACC
rnacentral:lncRNA from 1 species